rnacentral:lncRNA from 1 species
AGGCAAAGACAUGGCAGCAGUGCAGAGGACCCUGAUGGCUUUGGGCAGCUUGGCAGUGACCAAGAAUGAUGGGCACUACCGUGGAGAUCCCAACUGGUUUAUGAAGAAAGCGCAGGAGCAUAAGAGGGAAUUCACAGAGAGCCAGCUGCAGGAGGGAAAGCAUGUCAUUGGCCUUCAGAUGGGCAGCAACAGAGGGGCCUCCCAGGCCGGCAUGACAGGCUACGGACGACCUCGGCAGAUCAUCAGUUAGAGCGGAGAGGGCUAGCCCUGAGCCCGGCCCUCCCCCAGCUCCUUGGCUGCAGCCAUCCCGCUUAGCCUGCCUCACCCACACCCGUGUGGUACCUUCAGCCCUGGCCAAGCUUUGAGGCUCUGUCACUGAGCAAUGGUAACUGCACCUGGGCAGCUCCUCCCUGUGCCCCCAGCCUCAGCCCAACUUCUUACCCGAAAGCAUCACUGCCUUGGCCCCUCCCUCCCGGCUGCCCCCAUCACCUCUACUGUCUCCUCCCUGGGCUAAGCAGGGGAGAAGCGGGCUGGGGGUAGCCUGGAUGUGGGCCAAGUCCACUGUCCUCCUUGGCGGCAAAAGCCCAUUGAAGAAGAACCAGCCCAGCCUGCCCCCUAUCUUGUCCUGGAAUAUUUUUGGGGUUGGAACUCAAAAAAAAAAAAAAAAAAUCAAUCUUUU